GACGAACGCUGGCGGCGUGCUUAACACAUGCAAGUCGAACGGAAAGGCCCCUUUGGGGGUACUCGAGUGGCGAACGGGUGAGUAACACGUGAGUAACCUGCCCUUGACUUCGGGAUAACUUCAGGAAACUGGGGCUAAUACCGGAUAGGAAUCCUUGCUGCAUGGUGGGGGUUGGAAAGCUUCGGCGGUUUUGGGUGGGCUCUCGGCUUAUCAGCUUGUUGGUGGGGUAGUGGCUUACCAAGGCUUUGACGGGUAGCCGGCCUGAGAGGGCGACCGGCCACAUUGGGACUGAGAGACGGCACAGACACCGACGGGAGGCAGCAGUGGGGAAGAUUGCACGAUGGGCGGAAGCCGGAUGCAGCAACGCCGCGUGCGGGAUGACGGCCUUCGGGUUGUAAACCGCUUUCAGCAGGGGCGAAGCUUGUGGUGACGGUACCUGCAGAAGAAGCACCGGCUAACUACGUG
rnacentral:rRNA from 1 species